GUUAAUUAUUUAUAAGUAAAAAAAAAAUAGAAAGAUUUUGUUAUUGUUUUACUCUUGUUAUUUAUAUUGGUUAUCUUACUAAAGCAAAAUAUACAUUGAAUGCCGAUUUGUAUGUAGCAUUUACGUGAUGAAAGUGAAAUGCUCAAAAAUGUAAAUAAUACUUGUAUUGCUUUUGUAAAUGUAAAGUAUAAAGAUAUGCAAUUGCAGACUACAACAACAUAUAUCUUAUUUCUUAUAAUCUACACCUCAAACCUAACGGGGAAAAAAGUUUGACCAAAGCUAAACUUCUAAGUUUACUUCAUUUACACCAAUCUCUUAAGCUUUGGCCAAAACGAGUAAAAGCCAAAAGAAAAUAAUGUUAAAAACAAACAAGAAAAACAGAUAUUCCUCUUUUGGCUUAGAAGAGUAGUAUUAUACUUUGAAUCUCUCAGUUUCGUGAUGUUAUUCUAUACGGACGGUUUUAAAAAGCAAGACACACAUGAAAGCGGCUGCGCAGCUCGACAGACUGCACAACAUGGAUUUCCACAUAAACCAUCCGCAGUGGCCUAUGACCCGAUAUCUAAACUAAUGGCCAUUGGAACCCAAACGGGAGCUCUCAAAGUAUUUGGCCAACCUGGUGUAGAAUUUUAUGGACAACACACGCUUAUCAGCAACUCAGCCGCCGAACUCAAUGUCCAGCUUUUGGAAUGGGUCUACGGCACAGGACGUGUGUUGUCGUUGACAGCUUCAAACCAUUUGAUUUUGUGGGAACCGGUCGGUGCAACAUUGGUUGCCAUCAAGACAUUGCCUUUUGACGGCAAAUUAAAGAAAGUCUCAUCGCUUUGCUGUUCGUUGAACAAAGACAUUGUUUGGAUUGGUACCGAAGGUGGCAAUAUCUAUCAAUUCGAUCUAAAUUCGUUCUCAAUACGUGAGCCGGUUAUAUAUCACGAUAUUGUCCUAGAGCAAGUGCCCCCAACAUACAAGUUAAAUCCAGGUGCUAUUGAAUCUAUACGCCAACUGCCAAAUGCGCAUAAUAAACUGCUUAUUGCGUAUAAUCGUGGACUUUGUGUAUUAUGGGAUCUAGAAACUUCCGCAGUAAUGCGGGCAUACAUUGCACCCGGCCAUGGUCAGAGUGUGGGUCUGUUUGUAAAUGCAACUGGAACUCAGUUUACUUGGUAUCAUGCUGAUGGUUCUUACGCAUCUUGGAGCUUGACUAACGCCGAAGCACCGAAGAACGUCAAUUACGUUCCGUAUGGACCGGAUCCAUGUAAAAGCAUAAAUCGUCUGUAUAAGGGCAAGCGUGGUUUUGCUGAAGUUGUCGUAUUCUCUGGUGGCAUGCCUCGCUCAGCUUAUGGAGAUCAUAACUGUGUGUCAGUACAUGCAACUGACGGCAAUAAAGUGUGCUUGGACUUCACAUCAAAAGUUAUAGAUUUUUUUGUUACAUUCCAAAAUCAUACCGACAAUGUCGAAGUUCUGGUCGUACUGCUAGAAGAAGAGUUUUGUGCUUAUGAUUUAACUGAUAGUAAAGUUCCUGUUCUUAAAGCACCAUAUCUACAUUCAGUGCAUGCAUCCGCUGUUACGUGCAAUUACCUGGCAUCUCAGGUUACUCAGGAUGUCUAUAAUAAAAUCGUGCAUGCAGGAGAAGAACAAGAUGCUAAUUGCAGCCACUUAGAAUGGCCAAUUAAUGGCGGUAUCUUAGAAGAAGACGUGCCUGACGAUGUUGACAAUGAAGAUGCACGUAUGUAUGAAAUACUAUUGACUGGGCAUGAAGACGGUUCAGUGAAAUUUUGGGAUUGUACUGGUGUUGUCCUAAAACCGCUUUACAAUUUUAAAACCGCACCAUUGUUUGGACAUGAGAAUCAGGAUGAUAUACCGGCGGAAACAUCGGAACCUUUGGAUGAGUCAGAGCCACCAUUCCGAAAAUCUGGCCUUUUCGACCCCUACUCUGACGAUCCACGUUUAGCUGUUAAAAAAAUAGCUUUGUGUCCCAAAAUUGGUCGUCUUAUUGUUGGUGGAACUGCUGGUCAAAUCGUGAUUGCCAACUUUGACAACAGCGAAUCUGAAAGCGCUGCGCUAAAAGCGAGUUCUAUGAAUUUGGUAAGCGAUCGUGAUGGAUUCGUCUGGAAAGGACAUGAUCAACUGACGGUACGACCAAAUCUACUUGAGCCUGAUGCUGAUCCUAUUGGUGACGCUGGUGUUGAAAUAACGGGCGUGUUACAAGUUCUUCCCCCGGCAAGUAUAACCUGCUUGGCUCUGGAAGCGAAUUGGGGUUUAGUGGCUGGAGGCACUGCACAUGGUUUAGUUUUAUUUGACUAUAACACCUUUAUGCCAGUUUUCCACCGUUGCACUCUCAAUCCAAAUGAUUUGACAGGUGCAGGGGAGCAAUUGUCCCGACGUAAGUCAUUUAAAAAGUCGUUACGUGAAUCUUUUCGUAAAUUGCGUAAGGGCCGUUCUACGCGAAACAAUCCAUCACAAGUGCCUACAACUUUGGAAGCACGCCCGAUUGAACGACAAGUUGAAGCGCGGUCCACCGACGAUGGCAUGGGCUCUAUGGUUCGAUGCUUACAAUUCGCUAAAACUUUUAUAACUAAUGUGAAUAUAACUUCGCCCACAUUGUGGUCAGCCACAAACUCGAGCACAGUAUCAGUUUUCCUGUUACAUUUGCCACCUGCUCUAACUGCUGCUACCAAUAUACCACCAGUUAGCGGUAACGCAGCGGCAACAACAGCAGCUACACAGCCACGACGAGUGUCGGCUCAACUGGCGAAAGAAAUCCAACUAAAACACCGUGCACCUGUCGUCGGUAUUGCCAUAUUCGACCAGCAUGGCUAUCCAGUUGAUCAGCAUAGCAACAGUAGUGCCGUUUCACCACCACAUCGUUUAUUAAUCGCAUCUGAAGAGCAAUUUAAAGUGUUCUCACUGCCACAAUUGAAACCAAUCAAUAAGUAUAAGCUAACCGCGAAUGAGGGUGCACGUGUCCGACGUAUACAUUUCGCAUCGUUUUCCUGCCGCUUGCCAGCUGAUUUAUUGGCCCAAGGUGUUGGUGGUAGCCCGUCCAAAUCGACUUCAACGCGAUCACAAGAGAAUACACAAGAUUUAGCCAACACCAGCGCGAACACUACGGGAGGUAGUGCCAACGAUGCUCGUUUAUAUCACGAAAUGGCGCUGCUCUGUCUAACGAAUAUGGGCGAUAUAAUGGUACUUUCGAUACCGGAGCUAAAGCGACAACUAAAUGCUGCGGCUGUCAGACGCGAGGAUAUUAAUGGUAUAUCAUCGCUUUGUUUUACGAAUGGCGGCGAGGCAUUAUACAUGCUUUCCUCCUCGGAACUGCAACGCAUAUCUCUAUCAACCACAAAAGCCAUUACCCCAAAAGGCGGCAUUGAAGUGGAAGAGUUGGUUGCCGAUGAGCACGCCGCUGCAGCUAGCGAUGCGAAUAGUAUAAAUGAAGAGAACCAAGAAAACAUUGAGGCAGCGAGUUUGUCUUCAGCAAGAAAUUCACAAGAUCCGGGAGCGAAAGAUCGCACAAAACCGCUUGAAGUCGACAUCGAUGUACAAAAAGGAGGCAUUACUCUAACCAAUGGUGUUAAUUCAAACUCGGACAGUAAUUCUCCGAAUCGUGCCAACGAGACAAUCACUAGUUCCAUGGGCGAUAUAACGGUUGAUUCCGUGCGAGAUCAUUUGAACGCCACAACAACUACUCUAUGUACCACCACAACUGAAGAAACUGUCGGCGUCCACAAAAACACCCUUUAGUAAUUAAAAAUAUAAAGAGCAGUAUACCAAUUUUAAGUUAAUGACUACAUUUUAUAUAAUAAUAAGACGAACAUAUGGAAUGGAUAAUUUUUAAUAAAACAAGUGAAUACAUUUUGUCGACUAUCUGUAUUAAGCACACAAACUAAUCAAACUUUGACCAGUGCAAACAUGAAGGAUGUCAGCGAUUUCAACAUACCAAAUCUGAUGGAUUUGGCGCCUUUAUGCAAUACAACUGAAACUAAUAGCAGCUCUGUGGUUAUCAAAUCAAUUAUCACUAGUAUUUCACAUGAAAAGACCAAUGGCGAAACGGAGACAGUUACAACAAAGACAACCCAACACGAAGAAAGUCAAUUCUAAGCCCCAUUAUUUAAAUUGACUCCGAAAAAAUAUAUUUAAUUCAAAAUUCAGCAUGGCGAUAUAGCGAUUUGAAAUAAUUAAAACUAUAUAAAUAAGUUUUGUAUCGUCUUACAUUGCAAUAUCUUCUAUUUUAAUUUUAGCUAUUCUUGUUUAUUUAAUUAAGGCACUUUCCGAAGUAUCGCAAUCAAUGAACUAUUCUAAUUUUGCAUCUAUCAUUUUAAUUUUAAGUUUUUAUUUAAAGAUUUUUCCAAAAAUCUCAAUACACAAUUUCACUAAAACUGCACUGAACCACAAACGCAUCCAUGUAGCGCAAUAACUUAAUCCUUACAUAUAUCUAUAUUUUAAAUAACGAAUGUUAACAAAAAUACAUAAGUACAACUAAAAGAUUGCCUUACUUACAAACAAUACAAAUAAUUGUUAAACAAGUUUCGGUAUGUAAUAGUUAUUUAUGUCUCUUUGCAAGUAAUGACACGAAUCGAAUUUUAUUUCAAGUUAAUAUUUUUAAAAACAUUUCAAUCUGCAACACGCUUAUACUAUCUAUCAGUAAUUAAUUUCUUACUAACUAUAAAGUAUUAUUAAAUUAAAUUAAUGUAUCCCGACAAGCUUUGGAGCAUUAGCAGGUAUUCUACUACAUAUUAAACCUAAAUUUCUUCCAUUACAUGUUACAACUAAAACAAAAGAAAAAACACCAAACCAGAUGAAGAAAAUGAAUGAAGUACUAUUUUUACUGUUGUUACUAUUAUUACAAAAAUUUAUAAAGUAAAAACUGUUGGCAUUUAACUGACAUGUACACAUGCUAUUGAGUAAGCUAAUGAUGUACGCUAUUUAAAUAUACACAAUUCAUUUAUAAAAUACAUAUAUACAUACACACUGUAUUUAAAGAGUUUUUAAACUCGAACUUUUUUAUAUUUUACAUUGUGGAGAAUUUUUGGACUAUUUGUAUAGAAAAUUUACAAAUGUAUAAAAUAUUUGAUGAUAUAAUGAAUACUGUUAUCGAAAAUUGUUAAUUUUCAGAAAUUAUUUUCAAUAAAAGUAUAAAGAUUUGCCGCUAAUA